AGUAACGCGUGAGGAACCUGCCUUCCAGAGGGGGACGAACAGUUGGAAACGACUGCUAAUACCGCAUGAUGCGUUGGAGCCGCAUGACUCCGACGUCAAAGAUUUAUCGCUGGAAGAUGGCCUCGCGUCUGAUUAGCUAGUUGGUGAGGUAACGGCCCACCAAGGCGACGAUCAGUAGCCGGACUGAGAGGUUGGCCGGCCACAUUGGGACUGAGAUACGGCCCAGACUCCUACGGGAGGCAGCAG
rnacentral:rRNA from 1 species